GAUCAUCGAGUAUUCAUUAUCUCUUUGGAGACCUUAGCAUGGUGGAGUGAUGUAUUUGAGGUGGUGUUGUUGAAGUCCUUGGAGGGAAUUGCAUCAAAACUAUGUGCACCAAGUGACUAACAAUUUUCGCCUUAAGGACAAAGGGUUUAAUCCUUGAGUUACAUUUGGUUGGCAUGCCAUAGGGUUACAAGUAUAAUAAUUAUAACCAUCGUUGCCGGGCAACCCAAGGUGGUAGAAUGAGCAACAAUAAUAGAUAGUGAAAGCCAUCAUUGCUGAGCAACUGAAGAUAGUAGAAUGUAACAGUUCUAAAUGUUAUUGUUGUCAAGCAACCCAAGAUGACAAAGUAAAAUAAAUUUGUGUAUUUAUCUUAAGUUCGUGUCAGGUUAAUAGGGGUUAUAAAACUUGAAUAUUUUAAA